rnacentral:rRNA from 1 species
GAUGAACGCUGGCGGCGUGCUUAACACAUGCAAGUCGAACGGGAUCCAUCAGGCUUUGCUUGGUGGUGAGAGUGGCGAACGGGUGAGUAAUGCGUGACCGACCUGCCCCAUACACCGGAAUAGCUCCUGGAAACGGGUGGUAAUGCCGGAUGCUCCAGUUGAUCGCAUGGUCUUCUGGGAAAGCUUUCGCGGUAUGGGAUGGGGUCGCGUCCUAUCAGCUUGACGGCGGGGUAACGGCCCACCGUGGCUUCGACGGGUAGCCGGCCUGAGAGGGCGACCGGCCACAUUGGGACUGAGAUACGGCCCAGACUCCUACGGGAGGCAGCAGUGGGGAAUAUUGCACAAUGGGCGCAAGCCUGAUGCAGCGACGCCGCGUGAGGGAUGGAGGCCUUCGGGUUGUAAACCUCUUUUAUCGGGGAGCAAGCGAGAGUGAGUUUACCCGUUGAAUAAGC